CCACAAAGUACUAAAAGUAUAUUGUGGAACAUGAAGCAAAACAUCACACACAAAUUAAAGACCCACUUUCUUACCCACCCACCCCUCUCGAGAAAAUCACAUUUCUCUUCCAAAUGAAACUGUUAUCAAAGGCAUUGCUUAGCCAGCCUAGCAGCAGAUUUGGAAAAGGUUGAAGCCUAGUGCUAAGCUGGUAUCCAAAAGUAGACUCAGCUGGCGUAGGGCAGAGGCCUGCAACCUGACUGGUCCUAGGCAUAUUUCCUUGGAAACAAUUCAAGGGACUUAUUUCUGAAUUAACUGAGUUUGUAAGGAUGUGAAUUGUCAUCUUGGCCACUUGAUAGUCUUUGGCAAGCACUGGCUCCUUAACCUCACCCCUGCUCCCUUCAUUUGCAACAUGGAGGCAAGAUUUGCCUACCUUCCAGGGUUCUUUUGAGGCUGAUGAAGAGGGAAUAUGUUAUAGGCUUUACAUAUCAUUCUUUCUAUUUCUGGUGUUUGGAUUCUCAGUGCUAUUACUUAUGUUAUCCAAGAUUGCGCUGUUUGCACACUAAAGGGAGGAAUGUGGAGGCUUUGGGGAAAUUGCAAGUGUACCAAAAGUCUAUGGGGCAGGGAGGAAACUAUAAUGAAUGGUUGAAUGGCCAUGGAGAGCUGACUGACUGUUGGGUGCCACCCCCACCCCCACCACAAAACCCUGGGAAAAUGGAAUGGAGUAACUGGAAUCCUGAACAGGGAGCACUCCGUGCUGCAACAUUUUGUUGCAGCUCCCACUAGUAUUUUCCAAGUGCUAAGCUGCUGUUGUGAAUAAUGCAAAUGCUAACAAAGUAAUAAUAUUUCCCCAUCCUUCCUGUAAAUGUGUUAUUCUCCUGUGAUCAGCCAUAAGGGGACUAGUAAAAGGAAGUAAUUAUUAAUUCAAUUAGAGGAUGAAGGGCAAAACGUACAGUCUGCCAUUGGGAGAUGACAGCGACAGAUGAAGAAUGGGCUGAGGGAUGUGCAUAGUGGGGAGAUGAAGAAGCUUCCCUGUCUCUUCUGUCCAAGCUGACCUUGGCCUUUGCCACAAAUGUGCUUUUGCUUAUGAAACAUCCCUUCAGAGAGGCUUCUAUUUAGAUAGCAAUAUAUUUUGGGAUCAGAACCUUGAUGUCAGUGUGGAGGUUAGGAUGCCAGAAGAGACACACAGUGGGAGCUUUCAGGUCAUUUGAAUGCAUUAAGUAUUUACAAUCGGCUGAGCAGCUGGAGAAAAGAGAUGUGGCCUCAAGGGCCCAUUGGAAGCUGAAAUCCUUGGAGCAACAUCUCCAGAGCAUAACAGUCUUUCUAAAUGUAAAUGGAACGAAGGUCCCCCAGGGUGAAGGUCCUAGCAAUAGGACAAAUGUUGUUUGGCUUUCUGCUACCUGAGUGUCAUGUUUUUAAAGCAAUAUUUAAAGUAGUGCCAUUCUGAGCAGCUCCUAGGUGCCACAUAACAUUAUUUCUGUAGUUGUCAACGUUAGAAAUGCUGAAAAAAUAACACUCAAGAGCUGGUGCUUUUUUUCCUAAAACAUAGUCUACUACCAUCUUGUUAUCCAGAUAAAAGGAACAGACCUUAAAUAGCUAAUAUUAAGUGUGAUCAGAUCUGCUUUUGCUAUCAAAAUGCUCAUCUUGUGAUUGUCGAAGCACCAGUCUAAAUGCUGCAGGACAAAAUAUAAGAAAGCUAUAGCUGUGAGCUGUCCAUGUUAUAAGAAAUAUCCUUUGCCCUGGUCAGUUUCACCCAUGUGAGCUACAUAUCCCCCCCCCCAAUUGGCCAUUUUAACUAUGUUGGAAAAUCCAAAAUACAUAAAUGAUCAAGAUGCACAGGAAAUAAUGAGAAACCUCUUUUAAUGUGGUUUCGCUAAAACAAGUCCUGUUCCAGUGAUCUUGCUGAACCGAGAACAGAAAGCAUUGGCCUCUUAUCUAGUCUUGCCUGCUCUGACUGGCAAGAGCUCUCCAAAGUCUAAGAGGCAGAUGUCAGGGACUCUGAACUAGGGAUGUGGGGGGGGGGGAGAGUAUGAGUUAGCGAUGAAAGGAGAACAUACCAAAUUUGCACUUUCCAGAAUGAUAUGUGAAUGGAAACAGCCAGCCUCCAAAAUUCACACUUCUCCAAAUAUUGCAGUGAAGCUCUCCAGCCAAGUCAUGUGCCCGACAGUGCAAAGACUAGAGGAAAAGGUGCAAGCAAAUGCAUUUAACGGUGAAAAUAACAUACAGAACGCACUAUAGUAACAAAACUUGCUUUGCAAAAAAUGUGUAUAUUGGGAGAAAUUCAUGCUGAAAUGCUGGUUUUUAAUUGCAGACUGGAUGCGGGGAAAUGAAUGUCAGGUCAGAAACUGAGAAACAGAGAUUGAAACUGACAUCUGUUGUGAGCUUAACCCAUAUGCCCAACGAAGUCCUUGGGUUGCGCCACCAACCCUCUGAAGCAUGGCUCCUUGGUAUCCAUACAGAUGGUUUUCCUUGUUUCUCAAAACUUAUGUUCAUACGCAUGAGAGGGGGCAAGGAGUUGUUGCUACUGCUUGCCCUUCUCCAGCUUUUAAAAAAUGCAUCUCCUUGGCCAUUUCAAGGCUAGAAUGAGGAGACAUUCUCAGAUAAUUGGAAGGGAAGCAGCUGCAGUUCAUUGGUAUGCUGAUCUGUCCCCAAAUCCUACUUCCCAUUGCUGAAGCCUCUUUACCAGGGGUCAGCAAACUUUGUCAGCAGGGGGCUGGUCCACUGUCCCUCAGACCUGGGGGCGGACGGACUAUAAUUUGAAAAAAAAUAAUGAACAAAUUCCUAUGCCCCACAAAUAAACCAGAGGUGCAUUUAAAACAAAAGGGCACAUUCUACUCAUGUAAAAACACGCUGAUUCCCAGACUGUCGGCAGGCUGGAUUUAGAAGGCGAUUGGGCCGGAUCUGGCCCCUGGGCCUUAGUGUGCCUACCCAUGGGCUAGGCAGUGUUUUUCCAGCCCUAUGGUGAACAAUAAUCUUUGGGUUUCCUUUACUUAAUUCACAGAGUUUUUGGCUUACUUUGGUAGGCUGUAGUCUAUUGUAGGCAUUUGGGGAAAAAACUAUGGCAGAGUGUAAUGAUCUUGAAACAAAGUGUAAAUGAUCUUGAAAGAAAAUACAUGGGGCAAAAGAAUGAACCUUUAAUCUGUUUCAAUAAAUAAUUGAUUCUUGCUCUUCCUGCCGUUAUCAGUGUAAUUAAAUCUGUGAACCAAGGUAUCUCUUCUUGGGAUAUUGACUCUUUCUAAAUAGCGGCUGCUCAAAUAUUUCCAUUUGCCAGCACUGUGCUUUUAAAAUAAGAUGCUGCUACAGCCCAGUUAAUAAGGCAUUCUGAAAUGUUACACGCUUCCGAGGGAAAGUUUAAAAGUAACCCGAGGGAAAAUUAACCAGCUCUUGUGGAUUGGAUUGCUGGGGACCAUGUAUCUUUUCUGAACAAGUUUCGAUAUACGCUCUGGUUGCUUUAAUGUGUACAUUUGGGUCCCUGCAGGGCAUGGCGUAUGGUUCCGUAUUUACACCAGUCAGUUUGCAAGCAAAACAACUGAAGGCGUGUGGCAUUUCUGAGGGAUUAAUGACUGCCUUAGAGGAAUAAAUUGCUCAAAGCCAUUAACCCUGGGAAGUCAUUUAAUCCCCAGAACAUGGCCUGUGCCUUAGUCGUCAUGGCUGCUAUUUUGAGAAAGAGAUCGCCCCCCCCCUUAAAAUAAAUAACUGAAGGGAAACAGCAUGGUUGUGACCUCAUUUGGGAGAGCUCAAGAGUGCCUUAUAAGCCUUCUCGAUGCUGGGAUGUAAGGAUUUCUGAAUGGCACAUCUGACUUGGUAGUGAUGCCAAUUUUGUCAUGUUUCACUCAAAACAGUGGUGUCUUUGAUACAGUGGUACCUCUGGUUAAGAACUUAAUUCAUUCCGGAGGUCUGUUCUUAACCUGAAACUGUUCUUAACCUGAGGUACCACUUUAGCCAAUGGGGCCUCCCACUGCUGUUGCGCCGCCGCCAUGCAAUUUCUGUUCUCAUCCUGAGGUAAAGUUCUUAACCCGAGGUGCUACUUCUGGGUUAGCAGAGUCUGUCACCUGAAGCGUUUGUAACCCGAAGCGUUUAUAACCCGAGGUACCACUGUAUUCUUGUUUUUGUCAGCACUGAAUAGUGGGUUCUCAACAUUGCCACUUCUUUGUCCUCUGAGAUGCAACAUUCCCAAUACACAUAUUAGGAUGCCAUUUUUUGCUUUUCUCAGUUUCUCUAUUUUCCAAUCUUAAAUUCCGCUCUCCACAUUUCCACACUAGUUAGCAU